rnacentral:rRNA from 1 species
GAUGAACGCUGGCGGCGUGCCUAAUACAUGCAAGUCGAGCGAACGGACGAGAAGCUUGCUUCUCUGAUGUUAGCGGCGGACGGGUGAGUAACACGUGGAUAACCUACCUAUAAGACUGGGAUAACUUCGGGAAACCGGAGCUAAUACCGGACGAUAUUUUGAACCGCAUGGUUCAAAAGUGAAAGACGGUCUUGCUGUCACUUAUAGAUGGAUCCGCGCUGCAUUAGCUAGUUGGUAAGGUAACGGCUUACCAAGGCAACGAUGCAUAGCCGACCUGAGAGGGUGAUCGGCCACACUGGAACUGAGACACGGUCCAGACUCCUACGGGAGGCAGCAGUAGGGAAUCUUCCGCAAUGGGCGAAAGCCUGGCGGAGCAACGCCGCGUGAGUGAUGAAGGUCUUCGGAUCGUAAAACUCUGUUAUUAGGGAAGAACAUAUGUGUAAGUAACUGUGCACAUCUUGACGGUACCUAAUCAGAAAGCCACGGCUAACUACGUG